ACAAUCAAAAUAUAUUUAAGUUGCUAUCAAGAAACCGUGUAUAAAAAUAAAACCGACACAUGUGUGCCUAUAUGUACGUUUUUGUGUAUGUAUGUAUUUGUACAAAAAACAAGCUGAUAAAAAGUGAAGCAACAAAAAAGUGUCAUGGAAUAUUGUAGAAGUUGCUCCGGAAAGAUGAACAAACAAGUUCAACUUGUGGCCGCAUUUGUAUAUAUUAUCAGAGGAAAUUUUGAAUCGAAAACGACUGAAAAAACGAGCCCCUUCUGACGGUUCCAAAGGUUUUUGUGCAUUAUCAUAACGAGAUUCUAGGUCCGGCCUCCUAGAUCGCAGACAGUGGGUCAAAAGAACAUCUACCAGGGCUGAUAGUACUACUACUGAUGUAAUAACUAGGAAAUUGACGUCAAGCGAUUAAUAGUCAACUUGGGUGGUAAAUAAUCGAAAUAAAUACAAAAACAAAUUCAUUUUGAAGGCAGGAACUUCUGACUGAGCACGUACUCUUUUUCCUAUCUAAAUGCCCUUUCUAUGUGACCCCAAUAACUUUGCUUGGUGGGUGUCUGCUAACUGGGCUAUAAAUACAAGUUAUUACUCUGAAGAAUCUUAUCUAGUUUUUCGAUCGAUUCUCCUAUACAAUACUAUUAUGGAGUAUUUAUUUUAAUCAUAUAGAUUAUAAAUAUUUGUAGUGAAGCCGUUUUAACAAUAAUCAUUGUUAGUCCGUCAUAGUAAAGUAUACAAAAGAUGUUUUAAAUGUAUAAAGUCUAAAUAUAGAUUUUUGUUUAUAAACCUAAAAAGGUAGCUCCUGUUGACCUUCAGCAGAAGUCCUUGCCCCUCCAGAACUUGUUUUUGUGUAUGUAGGCACCAACCAAAACAACCCCUAAACUUGUGCCUCUCUCUGUUCUCAGUGAAUGUGUAUUCAUUUCCUUCCUAUACUGAAUUUUAUCACAUCUCCCAUUCAUUCAUUGAACGGUAAAUGAAAAGUGCAAUGAAUAAAGUGGCCCAAUGAAAUAACAAUAAAAGACGUCAACAAAUCGUGGGAUUUACGAUGACGUAGGCUAAUUAAAGAGCACAUAAAAAUGUGCGAGAAAGAUACGAAAAUGUAUGUAUUUCCCGAUGAAAAGUACAUGCAUUUAACAUUUGCGGCAACUAUUUAUAAAGAAAAAUCGCAGCGGCAGCUACAAAUUGCUGUUGAAACUUUGCCAACAAGCAAAUGAACUCAAUUGGAAGAGCGAGAUAAAAAAACUGUAAGAGAGCCGGUUGAGCCGGUAGAGAAAAACUACUUUCGAGAGCUAAAAGUCACCCGAUAAGGUUUCUUAUCGUCUGCAGUUCCCGUUUUCCCCCACUCUUUUUCCCCCGGUGCAUAGGUCAACAACACACUCAAGGUUCUAGAACUUGUCGUAAAACUUUAGAGCACGAGGAAAUAUAAUCAAAUUACAUAGAAACUAAGCACUCACUAACACCUCUUUACAUUCUGUUUUAUUUUGUAAAUUUGGAUUACGAAACAAACGAAAAAAAUGUGGAUUUUAUAUUUACUCUAUCACGCCCACUAUUCACCGCCCACUCACCGAACUGGAAACUGAAUCAGGGAUGUGGUGAUUAGCUGCUGGCUACUGGCUGGGUCCGCUGCUGCUGCUGCACUGGAGGAGAGCGGUUAACGCUUUUAUUUUCGGUUCGAAAUCGGUGCUGCUGCCGCCUCUGCUGCUGGCUCU